UACGUAGGGGUGCGAGCGUUUAAUCGGAAUUACUGGGCGUAAAGCGUGCGCAGGCGGUUUUGUAAGCCAGAUGUGAAAUCCCCCGGGCUUAACCUGGGAAUGGCAUUUGGGACUGCAAGGCUCGAGUGCGGCAGAGGAGACUGGAAUUCCUGGUGUAGCAGUGAAAUGCGUAGAUAUCAGGAGGAACACCGAUGGCGAAGGCAGGUCUCUGGGCUGACACUGACGCUCAUGCACGAAAGCGUGGGGAGCAAACAGG
rnacentral:rRNA from 1 species